CCUACGGGUGGCAGCAGUAGGGAAUCUUCCACAAUGGGCGCAAGCCUGAUGGAGCAACACCGCGUGAGUGAAGAAGGGUUUCGGCUCGUAAAGCUCUGUUAUUGGAGAAGAACGUGCGUGAGAGUAACUGUUCACGCAGUGACGGUAUCCAACCAGAAAGUCACGGCUAACUACGGCCAAGCGGCCGGGGUAAUACGGGGGGGGCAAGCGUUAACCGGAUUUAUUGGGCGUAAGGCGAGCGCGGGCGGUGGCUAAGGUCUGAUGUGAAAGCCUUGGGCUAAACCGAAGAAGUGCAUCGGAAACCGGGCGACUUGAGUGCAGAAGAGGACAGUGGAACUCCAGGUGUAGCGGUGGAAUGCGUAGAUAUAUGGAAGAACACCAGUGGCGAAGGCGGCUGUCUGGUCUGCAACUGACGCUGAGGCUCGAAAGCAUGGGUAGCGAACAGGAUUAGAUACCCCAGUAGUC
rnacentral:rRNA from 1 species